rnacentral:rRNA from 1 species
GAUGAACGCUGGCGGCGUGCCUAAUACAUGCAAGUCGAGCGAACGGACGAGAAGCUUGCUUCUCUGAUGUUAGCGGCGGACGGGUGAGUAACACGUGGAUAACCUACCUAUAAGACUGGGAUAACUUCGGGAAACCGUAGCUAAUACCGGAUAAUAUUUUGAACCGCAUGGUUCAAAAGUGAAAGACGGUCUUGCUGUCACUUAUAGAUGGAUCCGCGCUGCAUUAGCUAGUUGGUAAGGUAACGGCUUACCAAGGCAACGAUGCAUAGCCGACCUGAGAGGGUGAGCGGCCACAAUGGAACUGAGACACGGUCCAGAAUCCUACGGGAGGCAGCAGUAGGGAAUCUUCCGCAAUGGGCGAAAGCCUGACGGAGCAACGCAGCGUGAGUGAUGAAGGUCUUCGGAUCGUAAAACUCUGUUAUUAGGGAAGAACAUAUGUGUAAGUAACUGUGCACAUCUUGACGGUACCUAAUCAGAAAGCCACGGCUAACUACGU